rnacentral:rRNA from 1 species
GCUGACGAUAAUAGCUUGGAGGUCCCACCUGAUCCCUUCCCGAACUCAGAAGUGAAACUCCAAUGCGCCAAUGGUAGUGUGGUUCGCCCAUGUGAGAGUAGGUCAUUGUCAGCU